AUCUGACUGCUAUUUUGGGGUCAAGAAGGAAUUUUUUCCUAGAAUGUUGCAAAAUUGGAAGCACUUCAGACUGGGUCUUUUCUUUUGGAUCAACGGCAAAAACAUCAAAAGCAUAUGUGAGGAAGGCUGAACUUGAUAGACGCAAGCCUCUUCUCAGCUAUGUAACUAUGUAAUAAAUAAUUUAGAAAGCAUAGUUUAAUGUACAUUCCACAGCAUCUGUAACUGUAAUAUUGGUAUCUAAUAUAAAACAAAACUGCUGAACCAUGUUUAAUUGAGAAAUUAUUUAUGGAUACCUUCAAUUUUGUUAAUUUUCUUUAAUGGAUGGUCAGAUUGACAUAUGGGUGGACCAAUGGAUAAACAGACAGACUGACAAACAGAUAGAAAAGCAAGAGAGA